AGCGAACGCUGGCGGCAGGCCUAACACAUGCAAGUCGAACGGAUCCUUCGGGAUUAGUGGCGGACGGGUGAGUAACACGUGGGAACGUGCCCUUUGGUUCGGAACAACUCAGGGAAACUUGAGCUAAUACCGGAUGUGCCCUUCGGGGGAAAGAUUUAUCGCCAUUGGAGCGGCCCGCGUCUGAUUAGCUAGUUGGUGAGGUAACGGCCCACCAAGGCGACGAUCAGUAGCUGGUCUGAGAGGAUGAUCAGCCACACUGGGACUGAGACACGGCCCAGACUCCUACGGGAGGCAGCAGUGGGGAAUCUUGCGCAAUGGGCGAAAGCCUGACGCAGCCAUGCCACGUGAAUGAUGAAGGUCUUAGGAUUGUAAAAUUCUUUCAGCGGGGACGAUAAUGACGGUACCCGCAGAAGAAGCUCCGGCUAACUUCGUG
rnacentral:rRNA from 1 species